AGAGUUUGAUCCUGGCUCAGAAUCAACGCUGGCGGCGCGCUUAACACAUGCAAGUCGCACGAGAAAGGGGCAACCUGAGUAAAGUGGCGUACGGGUGAGUAACACGUGGAUUAUCUACCUCAUAGUGGGGGAUAACCCUGGGAAACCGGGGCUAAUACCGCAUAAGCUCGUGAGAGGAAAGCAGCAAUGCGCUGUGAGAG
rnacentral:rRNA from 1 species